CCUGUAGUAAACUAUCAUGGUUUGCUAGGGUUACUGUAGACUUUUGAGAAAGACCACCAGCUCUAGAAAGAGCCAGUGAAUUUAAUGGGAGGUUCAUCUAUAGGUCGUCAAUCCUCUAGGAGAGAAAAAAAGAAGAAGAAGAAGGUGCAAAAAUCUCGUGCUGUCGAUCCUAAGCAGAGCAAAUUAUCAAAAAUUGAUAAGAGCCAGGC
rnacentral:lncRNA from 1 species